rnacentral:rRNA from 1 species
AUUGAACGCUGGCGGCAUGCCUUACACAUGCAAGUCGAACGGCAGCGGGGGAGAAACUUGCUUUUCCUGCCGGCGAGUGGCGAACGGGUGAGUAAUACAUCGGAACGUGCCCUGUAGGGGGGGAUAACUAGUCGAAAGAUUAGCUAAUACCGCAUACGACCUGAGGGUGAAAGUGGGGGACCGCAAGGCCUCAUGCUAUAGGAGCGGCCGAUGUCUGAUUAGCUAGUUGGUGGGGUAAAGGCCUACCAAGGCGACGAUCAGUAGCUGGUCUGAGAGGACGAUCAGCCACACUGGGACUGAGACACGGCCCAGACUCCUACGGGAGGCAGCAGUGGGGAAUUUUGGACAAUGGGCGAAAGCCUGAUCCAGCAAUGCCGCGUGUGUGAAGAAGGCCUUCGGGUUGUAAAGCACUUUUGUCCGGAAAGAAAUGGCUCUGGUUAAUACCUGGGGUCGAUGACGGUACCGGAAGAAUAAGGACCGGCUAACUACGUGCCAGCCGCCGCAGUAA